UGUAAAUCUCAUGGGGAAUGGGGCUGUAUCCAUAUCAGCAACAGGUCUCCAGGGUGAACAGCCUCUGGCAGGUUGGAGCAAUGUAUGUACUU